UGUAAACAUGCCAGCCGGGUGCAGCAGCGGAGAUGCGCCCUCAGCUUUUAAGUGUCUGAGGGAUUCCUCUUUCAGUCAACCAGGAGACAUGGAAAACAGCGCACACCGCAGGAACGGUAUCAUGGAAAAUAUUAGUGGUUUUGAAACCGUGAAAUUGUCAAAUCACGGUAAACCUUGAAACGAUGUGAAGAUCUGCUGGAUUCAGUGCAGGAGGAUGAAGGAGAGCAGAGAACAGCAGAGGAACAGGAAGCUCUGAGAGACGCUCUGAGCACCGUUACACAGAUUCCCUGAACAACACGAGGCUUCCUGAAUAUCUCUAACCGAUGUUUCAGCAUCACAGAUAGAUUUAGAGACACAGCCUUUUACAACUGUUGACUGGCCACCUAAAGUCCCUGAUGAAAAGAAAGAAAAGAGAGAUUCUCACCUGAGGCUUUAAAGCAGCGGUCUUCACUCCCUGAACACUUCAAUAUGUUUGAGCAGCUCUUGUCAUCACAGGAGUAACACAUCUUUCCGUUGGGGACAAUAGAGGGAUCUACAGGACAAAAACAUGCA